UAUAACUUAAGUCUUCUACUGCUUCACCUUACAGAAAACCAGCACAGGGAAUUUGCUCCAACAUUCAGGACCAAGAGGAUCAGUUCCAGAAAAAUAGGAACGAAUCAGAGCAGAUAAAUUCAAGUAAGCGGCUCCAGAUGUUUGCCACCUCAGAAACCCAGCAGGAGCCAGCAGACAAGCACGAUGAUGUUAGUGGGACCUAAUUUUAUAGGGGGUCACUCUUUGUGUUUUAUGAUACAAUAACUUUCACUCGGAAACUAAGGAAACAGAUACUGAACACUCAGACGAUGAAAAUCUCCUGUAAUGGCUUUUUCUUGCAUCUGCACGGUGAGUGUGGAAUGAUACAGCUCAUGUCUGAAGAAUCUAAGUUAUCUAUGCCCAAAGGCUGUCCCUUCCCACCACCAGCCCUCUCCAGUCAGAACUCAUCACCCGGGAGCUGCACCACAGAAUACACUUAACUCCUCCACAAAGGAGACAAGCCAAAGUUCCAUCCAGCAGCUGCAUUCAACUCAAAGUUCAUCUUUCUGGGAGAUGUCCAGUUGUCUCUCCAUCAGAUUCAGUUACAUGUGACUUUUCAACCUCUGGAGUCCUGAUUUUACAAAAGACAAAUUAUCUAUUCCCUCUCCACAUAUACUCAUGUGCGCACACACCCACCCACUAAGGCAGUCUGAUAAAGAGGCUUUGUCCGGGGUAGAGCCCACGGUGAGGACGUCUGACCCUCUCUCUUGUCACCCACUUUAUGUGACGGUCGAUGGAAGAGAAUGAGAAGGCAAGGAGAAGCAAAAGUAAGAAUUCCAGAGAGAGGACGCCACUGUGUAAAGACAUGGGGGCCUCACGUGGAACAGCAAUUGUGUGUAUGGAAACUACAAUCAGCUCAGGUUUGACCUAUCCAAAUGUGUCAAGUGUAAAAGUAUAAAGUGGAAGUGACAAGGGGAGAGGCUACGUGGGCUUGCAGAGGCCACUUUUUUAGCAGCAUGGAGCAAAACGGAAGUAGCACUGACCGAUAAGCAAGACUUUAAUUACUAUCUGAUUGUGGCCAGAAGCCCCAAAAGGCUAAAUUUAGUGGAUGUGUUCACUCGAGAGGACUUAUACCCUUCUUAAAGACGAGGCAUCCUCCUUGGCGUGGCUCAGACAUCACCUCCUCCGGGAAACCUUCCCUGGCCUGUCUGGGCCAGAGUGAAGACACUCUGAGUCUUCACGGCAGGGGCACUUGCUCGGCCCACUCCCCCCGCUAUGGGCGCCAUGAGGGCGGAAUUGGUGAUGGGCCUGAAGUUGGUGCUCAACAUUUGUUGAAGAAAGCUUUCCCUUAACCUCAAAACUCUUUCACCUACUACCCAAUGUGUCUCCUUUGCUUUACAACAAGUCUUCUUGAAAAGAGCCAUCCAUACCCACUGUCUCCACAUCUUCUCCUCCCACUUUCCUCCCAUGCUUUCUUGAAACUACUUCAGUAAGCCCCCUCCUCUCCUCCACAAUGAAACUGCUUUUGUCAGGCGACCUCCACCAUGACCUCCACGUUGCCAAAUUCAGUGGGGCUUUAUCAGUGUUUCUCUCAUUCCCAGCAACACACUGGACCACCUCCUCCCCCUUAAACAUCUUCCCUUGGCUUCUGAGACACCUUUCUCUCUUGAUUUUUCUACUGCACUCAGAAGCUCUUCUCAGGUCCCUCCACUGGUUCCUCCUCAUCUCCUUAACCUGUAAAUGUCAGAGUGCCAGCAGCAAAAACCUUGGACUUCUCUAUCCUCCCUCACUUCCUCGCUGACCUUAUCUGGUCCUAUGACUUGAAACACCCCUCUUCAUGCUGGCAGCCCCCUAAUCAAUACCUCUAGCCUCAAACUCUCCCUUGAAUUCCAGACUCCCUUUUCUAACUUCCUACUCCACAUCUUUACUUGGAAGUCUAUGAAGCAUCUCACACUUCACACAUCUGAAACCAGACAACAUGCACCCCCAGAAAUGUUGCUCUUCUUCACCUUCUCCAUCUCAAUAAAUGGCAUUUACAUUUGGCCAGAGGCUUAGGCUAAACAGCCAGCAACAUCCUUGCCUCCUUUCUUUCUCAUGCACCCACAUCUAAUUCAUCAGCAAACUCUGCCAGCUCUCCCUUUGAGAUAUAUCCAGAAUCCAACCACACUUUACCACCUCCACCAAAUCACAGACUCCCGGCUGCCAUCAUCUCUCAGCUAGAUUAUUACAAUCACCUCCUAUUCAGCUCCACCCUUAAUCUUCCCCCCUUAACCACACAUGACGGCCAGAAGGAACAUUUUAAAAUAUAAGAAAGAUCAUGUCACCCGUCUGCUCAAAACCUCCCAAAGGUGCCGUCUCCUCCUCUGUAACCACACUUUCUCUGACUUGCGCCCCUCUGCCCAUUCCAGGUCAGCUGCACUGGCCUCCUGGCUGUUCUUCAAUAUACCAAAGAUGACCCCACCUUAACGCCUCUUACUUUAUCAUUCGUCUGCCAGGAAAGCUCUUCCCCCAAAUAUCCACAGGAUUCGUUCCCUUCCUCCAUCAGGCCUCUGCUUAAAUCUCACGCCUUCAGAGAGGCCUUCCCCAACCUCUGUAAGAAAGCUUCCCCUCCCACCUCUGCCUCCUUUACUUUACUUUGGCCUUCUUUAGAGUGCUCAUCAUAACCUGACAUAUUUGUUUCUUUGUUAAAAAUUGUUUUUCUCUCUCCAUGAGAGUAAGGAUUUUGCUGUUUUGUUCACUCGAAAUCCUCGACAUCUAAAAUCCAAUAAAUGUAUGAAUGAAAGAAUGAAUGGGAGGGGAAAAGUUGGUGUCUUCACACAAGGUAGGAAGACACUAACAUAAGGGUUUCAUUUUAAAAAUGUAAAAGCCGGUUU